rnacentral:rRNA from 1 species
UACAGAGGGGGCAAGCGUUAUUCGGAAUUAUUGGGCGUAAAGGGCGCGUAGGCGGCUUUUCAAGUGACGGGUGAAAUCCCUCGGCUUAACCGAGGAACUGCCUGUCAGACUGGAAGGCUUGAGACCGGGAGAGGUGAGUGGAAUUCCCAGUGUAGCGGUGAAAUGCGUAGAUAUUGGGAGGAACACCAGUGGCGAAGGCGGCUCUCUAGUACGGUACUGACGCUGAGACGCGAAAGCGUGGGGAGCGAACAGG